AACGAACGCUGGCGGCAUGCCUAACACAUGCAAGUCGAACGAGACCUUCGGGUCUAGUGGCGCACGGGUGCGUAACACGUGGGAACCUGCCCUUAGGUUCGGAAUAACUCCCCGAAAGGGGUGCUAAUACCGGAUAAUGUCUUCGGACCAAAGAUUUAUCGCCUUUGGAUGGGCCCGCGUUGGAUUAGCUAGUUGGUAGGGUAAAAGCCUACCAAGGCGACGAUCCAUAGCUGGUCUGAGAGGAUGAUCAGCCACACUGGGACUGAGACACGGUCCAGACUCCUACGGGAGGCAGCAGUGGGGAAUAUUGGACAAUGGGCGAAAGCCUGAUCCAGCAAUGCCGCGUGAGUGAUGAAGGCCUUAGGGUUGUAAAGCUCUUUUACCCGGGAUGAUAAUGACAGUACCGGGAGAAUAAGCGCCGGCUAACUCCGUG
rnacentral:rRNA from 1 species